rfam:Schistosoma curassoni strain Dakar, Senegal genome assembly, scaffold: SCTD_scaffold0001091
AUCCAGCUGACGAGUGCCAAAUAGGACGAAAUGUGCAUUUCGGGAU